GCGGGGACUUAGGAGGCAGGCGCUGGCGGGCAGUGAUGGCGGCGGGUGAUGGGGACGUGAAGCUAGGCACCCUGGGGAGUGGCAGCGAGAGCGGCAGGGAAGGCGGCAGCGGGAGCCCGGGCGGCGCGGGAGUGGUGGCAGAAGGGGGCGGCUGGGCGGCAGCGGCGUUGGCGCUGCUGACGGGGGGCGGGGAGAUGCUGCUGAACGUGGCGCUGGUGGCGCUGGUGCUGCUGGGGGCCUACCGGCUGUGGGUGCGCUGGGGGCGGCGGGGUCUGGGCGCCGGGGCCGGGGCGGGCGAGGAGAGCCCCGCAGCCGCUCUGCCGCGCAUGAAGAAGCGCGACUUCAGCUUGGAGCAGCUGCGCCAGUUCGACGGGUCCCGCACCCCGCGCAUCCUGCUCGCGGUCAAUGGGAAAGUCUUCGAUGUGACCAAAGGCAGCAAGUUCUACGGUCCCGCGGGUCCAUAUGGAAUAUUUGCUGGUAGGGACGCCUCCAGAGGACUGGCGACAUUUUGCCUAGAUAAAGAUGCACUUAAAGAUGAAUAUGAUGAUCUAUCAGAUUUGAAUGCUGUACAAAUGGAAAGUGUCCGAGAAUGGGAAAUGCAGUUUAAAGAGAAGGCUCAUCCUCAGUCAGUGUCAGAAAAGCCUGUCUCCUCAACACACUCCUGUGUCAGACAAGGAGACCCUGUGCUUUGCAUUUGUUCUACCAUCACCUGUGACUGAGCACAUUGCGUUGCCUAUGAUUACUCCAUUCAAGAGAGUGCUUGAAGUGCUGUGAAUACUGGUUUAAUCCCAAGAGAUUUUUCUACCUUGCUGUGUCUGCAUAGGACCCUAUUAUAUCAAAUCAUGAAGUUCAGUGAUCAUACUCUACUUGCCAAGACUUCAGACUUGAGCCAUCCAUCCAGUCAUGCUCCUGCUCUUGAUAUUCUGUCAAAGAGCUACAGCUGUGUCUGUAGCGGAAAGAGUUUAAACUUCGAAGGGGGUGUGCUGUGUUUUUUGUGACCUCGAGCAAGUGUCUGAGCCUCCUUUUCCUCAUUUGUUAAAAGGGACUAAGUAUCUGUGUCACAGGUGAGAACAAGAUAAAGGCCAUCAACUCCAUGGCAUAUACUACAUAUUCCCUUCAUCUACUUGACAGGUAGAAAGACAUUCAAGUAUCUUUUCAGGUGGCAUACAACUUUCUAAUUUAAACUAACAAUUGAAAUAACCUUUUGUUAAAUUGAUAGUCCUAAAUCUGAAAAAUGUUUCCCACAGUCGAUCAGGAACAAAGUAUUGAUUUAUUUAGGGAUAGCAUCAAUGCAAUAUUAAAGUUCAGCUAUAAUGUCAGGAGUCAGGUCAUAUUUGUUAAUAUUCUCACAUGCCAAACUCUAUUUAGAAUCUGGACUCCCAUCAGGUGGAGGUUAUCCUGAAAUCAUUUGCAUAAUAUAAUCGCUGGAUGAGAUGUGAAAGAUGGAAUAGUAUGACUAUAUUAAAUUGAAAACGUCUCAUUACUGAGCACCUUCAUUUCAGAACAGUAAACAGAUUGUGCAUACGUUAACUCUAGGAGCAAAAUUGAAAAUGCUACAUUGCAGUAAAGAAUUCAGUGCCAUUUAGCUUCAAAGAUGUGUCUACAUUGUUUUAGUUAACCUUAUUUCAACUGCCAUAAAAUAAUUCGGGAUCAUCUCAUAACCCAACUUGUAUUAAGCAAAACUAAUGAUUAGGGUGCUCACUCUCCUGACAGUGGGAUUACACCCAGGCUUGUGCCUUUUCCUCUCCCUUCUCCCUCCCUACCCCAGGCAUAUUAACCUUGGCUUCCUCAUUCCCAAGCUCCAAGGGCCCUUCCUUUACCUCUAUAACUUGUUUCCUAAGCCCAUUUCUUUUAGGAAUUAAUUCUUCCUCUGUGAUUACCAAAUAAAUGUUCUCUUAUAAAACAAACAAAAAAUCCCAACUAAUGAUUAGAAUAGCUAAAUAUAUUGCAAAUGUACUAUUCAAAGACUUUCCUCACAUGACUGAGUCUCUUAAGGCAAAUUAAAGCUGCAAUCAUCCUAAAUGUAAAAAUCUUACAUAUUUAACAUAUUCUUGAGCAGUCAGAACUUAGUUCAAAUUGGAAUUUAGUUAUGGUUAACUACAUGUCAUCUUGGCUACUCCAUAAUGCCCAGUUGUUAGGUUAAACACUAGUCUAGAUAUAUGUAAUUAACAUUUACAAUCAGUGAAACUAUCCUUCAUAAUGUGGGUGAGUUUCAUCCAAUCAGUUAAAGAUGUUAGGAGCAAAGAGUGAGGUUUCCCAAAAAAGAAGCAAUUCUGCCUCAAGACUGCAACAGAGAACUCCUGCCUGAGUUUUCAGCCUGCUGACCUGCCCUGUAGAUUGGACUCAAGGCUGUACAUCAACUCUUACCUGGAUUUCCAGCUGGAUUGGCCUAUAAAUGUCAGACUUACCAGCCCCCACAAUUGUGUGAGCAAUUCCUUAAAAUAUUUUCUCAUCUAUCA